ensembl:lncRNA
CUCGCACAAAGCCUUAUCCCUUGCCCCAACCAUUUCUUUCUUUCUUUCUUUUCUGUCCCCUAUCUCUUCCCUAGUGUUUCCAGAGAAUGAAAAGAAAUGCUCCCUUUCUUCUUUGCUCUCAGUUUCUUUUAUGAGGCAGAAAAAGAUAACUGGACAAAGUUUAAAAUCUAAAAUGUAUUAACAGUUAUGCUUUCUUGCUUUUUGUCUAGUUUUCUGUUUUGGCACUAGGCUUGUUUUGGCAUUUCAUACCAGUCCCAGUUGUUCCCUCCCUGCUAGGCUUGGCUCUCAGGAGUGGAACUGUACUUCUGAGGAGGUUUAAACAAGCAACAACAAAAAAAUAGGCACUAAACAAUUAGUAGGAGUCCAGCACUAACAUACUGACUUUACAAGGAUCCACCAGCAUGACUCAGCAGCCUGCAAGCCUGAGCUCCAGUUGCAAGUGGUUACUACUACCUUCUCCUGUUCCACUUGUAGAAAAAAAGAAAAAAAGAAGAUCCCAAUAAGUUUGAGGACUAGAGGAAGAUGGGACGAUAUUGAAUUUGAAUAAUAAACCAGUAAAUAACCUAAAAAAAAAAAAAAUUUAGAAGACAAGGAACUAUCAUAAAGUAUGUCUCAGGAGUUUCUGUAAUUCCCAGAGUUUGAGCCUGCAUAAAUAAGAAAUAAAAGAUGAUGAAGUCUUAGCUGCCUGUGAAAACCCACCCUUAUAGUAGGACCAAGCAAGGUAAGAUUGCAUGUAUGGUAUUGUCAGUGUUUUUAAAGAGAGGUGUAUCUGAGUUUGUUUUGUCGGGGGGGGAGGGGACAUAUACAUGUUCUGGUAAACACUGCAGCUCUGCAAUGGUAUGUUAAGAGACAAACAAUCUUAAAAGAGAACAGAAAUCUUACUAGUAUUUUCUGUAGGUCUGCAUAUUUAAGCCAUCAAUUGCUUGUAAUGCUACAGGAAUGUUUUUCUUUACUUCUGAUCAGUGGCAGAGAUUCUGCUGCCUUUGGGAUUCCUCCCUGUAUGUACUAAUGUUCCAGCUCUUCUUUAUAUGAACUCCUUCAGCUGAGCUAACAAAUGACAGCUUCAACAGAAAGGUAGAGAAGAAAGUGCCACAUCCAGCUCCUCACUUGUCCAAAGGUGCUGUCAAAAUUUAGAAUUUAAUCUUUGAGAUUAGUGCUUAAAAGCUCAGAGCUCUAGAGUCGGGAUUUAGGCUUUGUAAAAGUCAAACUCUGUGUUUGAAAGCUCGUUGGUCAAAACCAAAAAGCUCAGACUUCAACUCAGUGUAGCUUUUAAUAAUAUUGGUUUAUCAUUUCUACAAAUACAAAAUAACAUGUAUUUAUGGUUUGCUUGUUUGUUUGUUUUACAGGAUGGGUAUACUUUCCUGAUAAUAAGAACUGAUAAAUCAAUUAAGUGCAUUAGCGGGGUAUAUAAAACUUUUGAAUGAUGUUAUUCAUGAGGUAACUGCCUAGCCUCUGUGUGCAGGGCAUGCUUGUGACAAGAAGGAAUGAUCAAAGACAGCUCAGGCCUUUCUCAUAGUCCUCCCCUUCAGCCAUCUGCUUUUCAGUCUCUCCAAUCAACACAGUCUCCUUAAUCCCAUGUCUACCCAGUGUCAGAAAUGCUGGUCUAAUUCUCUUCUAAAGGAUAAAUGGAAGAGGAGAAAAAAGAAAGAUGAAAUAUUUUAACCUUCCAAUGGGAGGUAGAGGGGAAUAGAAGAGAUUCGACUCUGUCUUCCUCUGCGGUUUUCACUAGGUGAUGGAAGUCAUACAGACUCAAGGCUAGCACUGCAGAAGCA